rnacentral:rRNA from 1 species
UACGUAGGGGGCUAGCGUUGUCCGGAAUCAUUGGGCGUAAAGCGCGCGUAGGCGGCCAGAUAAGUCCGGUGUGAAAGUCACAGGCUCAACCUGUGAAUGCCGCUGGAAACUGUCUGGCUAGAGUCCGGAAGGGGCGAGUGGAAUUCCUGGUGUAGCGGUGAAAUGCGCAGAUAUCAGGAGGAACACCAGUGGCGAAGGCGGCGACCUGGGCCAAUAUUGACGCUGAGGUGCGAAAGCGUGGGGAGCAAACAGG